rnacentral:rRNA from 1 species
AAUUGGAAUAGAAGUAAGACCAAGUUUUUCUGUAAGCCAAAAUAAAGAUCGAUCGGAAGUUUUGAGAUUAUUUCAAGAAACUCUUGAUUGUGGAACUAUUCGGCCAGAUAGAAGUGAUCAGACUUUUAAGUUCGAAACGCGCAAUUUGGAAACUUUAAUCGAAAAAGUGAUUCCGUUUUUUGAACGGUUUCCACUAAAGUCUUCUAAAAACAAAGAUUUUGAGUUGUUUUCACAAGUUUGUCUAAUGAUGAACAAGGGAAAACACCUUAAUAAAACUGGUUUGAAAAAGAUAAUUCGAUUGGCAACACAAAUGAAUGCUUCGGGAAAAAGAAAAUACAGUGAACGAGAUUUAAUCAAUCUUUUACAGUAAAGGUAUAGUCUGUGCCACUGGUAACAGUGGAUUGAGUAAAACGAAGUUCCGACCUGCACGAAAGGUGAAACGACUUUGUAACUGUCUUGAGAAGAGACUCGGCGAAUUUGAAUUGGCUGUGAAGAUGCGGCCUACUGGCAGCAGGACAAAAAGACCCCGUGGAGCUUUACUACAACUUGGCACUGAAAUGUGUGCUGUAACUGUUUAGCAUAGGAGGGAGCACCGACAAUUUAUUGUUGGUGCGAUAGUGAAAUACCUCUCUUUGCGACGCACGUUUCUAACCUAAUCCAAAUGCAAACUUUGGAGGGAACACUGUCUGGUGGGUAGUUUAACUGGGGAGGUUGCUUGCUAAAGAGUAACGCAAGCGCACAAAGGUACCCUUUCUCCGGAUGGAAAUCGGAGUGUAAGCGCAUAGGUAUAUGGGUGCUUAACUGUGAGACAUACAAGUCGAUCAGAUACGAAAGUAGGUCUAAGUGAUCCUCGUGUACUUCGUGGGAGGUACCGGGCUUAACGGAUAAAAGCUACCCCGGGGAUAACAGAGUAGUUGCGCCUGAGCGUCCACAGCGACGGCGCAGUUCGCUACCUCGAUAGACAAUGACCCAAACAUGUCGAGGAAAUAAAUUUGGCUUA